GCUUGUUAGAGAAGUAAACUGAUGAGAGCACUGGAUGAGGGUCUAUCAUCUAUGGUCUGUUAUAAUUUGCUUUUUAUGCAAAUAGUGAGCAAAAAUUAAAGCAAAACUGUACAAGUUACAUAUAUAGUACUAUAUCAGUACUAUACACGAACUUUUAUCGAUGGAUAAUUUUGCGAGUUUUCAUCCAAUUCAAUCAUAUGUAUGCUCAAAAUCUUCGCGGUAAGUUUCUCUUUACCAUAAAAUUUGACCAAAUAAGUUUCGAAACAAUGCGACGGCAAAAAAUGCAAAAAUCUUGAUUUUCGUAAUAGAAUCUAUAGUCUUUUUGCCCUGUUGUACCGCCAUCUUGGAUUAAUCAUGUAGGCCCCGCCUGCGCUAGGUAUGCGUUAGCAAUCUAGAUCUCCUAUAUCUAUG